AUGAACGCUGGCGGCGUGCCUAAUACAUGCAAGUCGAGCGAACAGACGAGGAGCUUGCUCCUCUGACGUUAGCGGCGGACGGGUGAGUAACACGUGGAUAACCUACCUAUAAGACUGGGAUAACUUCGGGAAACCGGAGCUAAUACCGGAUAAUAUAUUGAACCGCAUGGUUCAAUAGUGAACGACGGUUUUGCUGUCACUUAUAGAUGGAUCCGCGCCGCAUUAGCUAGUUGGUAAGGUAACGGCUUACCAAGGCAACGAUGCGUAGCCGACCUGAGAGGGUGAUCGGCCACACUGGAACUGAGACACGGUCCAGACUCCUACGGGAGGCAGCAGUAGGGAAUCUUCCGCAAUGGGCGAAAGCCUGACGGAGCAACGCCGCGUGAGUGAUGAAGGUCUUCGGAUCGUAAAACUCUGUUAUUAGGGAAGAACAAAUGUGUAAGUAACUAUGCACGUCUUGACGGUACCUAAUCAGAAAGCCACGGCUAACUACGUG
rnacentral:rRNA from 1 species